UUAAAAAGAAAUACAAAAUGGGUAAUAGCGAAAAUAAACGAAGGAGGGAGGAGAGGAUCGCCAGGUUGCUCGAGUUAUUCGCGUAUGAGACGAUUAAUCGAGAAUAUAGGGAAUUAGCGGCGCGUGCAAAAUGUUUGCGCGAAACUACCGUCUGCCCACGUGGUGUUCCUUUAAUCGGAAAAAUAUCGGCAAAAAUCGGAUCGCACGGAGCGUAUGUAGGUCGUUGAAAAAGAAAUCCUGGUCGUGUUACAUAACGACGCGAAUUAUGGAAGAUUAAUUACAUCGGUCGGCACGUUGCUUUUUCUCCGCUAAACUGCGAGCCUUUUUGUUCUCGAAGGUCUGUUGUUCCGGUUUGUACCGUUGAUUUUUAUUAGCGUUGAUUAAGAAAACACAAAGUUGCUAAAUACGAUAUUCUGGAUCGCGCAUACAACGUUUGAGAAGAAACGUCGAAAUACUUUAGUUUUUUAGUUAGUUAGCUUUGGUGUAUUUAGUUUAAAAAUCCAAAGAGUUUGGACGCGGAUUUCCUUCUUCGAUUGGAGACGUUUUUGAAUUACGAAUAAACUUAAAGACGAUCGUUUGCAUUUAUGAGCGAGAGCGUGUAAAAAUACUCGUGACUCGAACCUGUUACAGGCGAGAGAUUUCUAUAGUUGGAAAACGGGAUAUUUUCUACCUGCGAUCAAAAAUGGAUAUCCCUUUGAAAUUUAGCUUUCGAAUUUUUAAUUCUGGAUUCAAUCUUUGGAUCGAUUCUCAUACGCGGGUAUACUCGAUGGGUAAUAAAUUUGAAUUUGUCGCUAGCUGUUAUAAACGAGAAAUUGUUUCGAUUUGAAAAUAAAAUACCUUCUAUGUUCGAUCAAAGUAAAGUAUCGCUUUAGUUUUCCAAAUCUUAAGCCGUACGAAACACGCAACAGGACGAUGGAUAUUCCUUUAAUAUUCUCUCAAAUCUCGAAACAUAGCGUACGUAUCUACGUUAUUUACGGUUAAUGCGCGCAUGUAACUACGCUUAAUAGAACAAAAAUAACGUAUCAAUCUCUUCUUGAAUUCGAGUUUAUACGUUUGUUAUGAUUCGAUAUUUUAUCGUUGUCAACGAAAAAGCCGCACGAUCUUUUUUCGCUACCUAAUCGAUGUUCGAUAUCCGGAUUUGUCGUCAUCUUCACAUAAAAUUUACGAUUCGUUGUUCUUAUAAAAAUUCAUUAAAAAUUAUCACCUAUAUUGGAAUAUAACGAUUGAAAAUCAUAUAUAAUUCGUAUAAUUACAGUAACUACGAUAAAACGCUCGUUAGAAUCGGCUAACGAUUAACGCGAGCAUUCGCGUGAUCGAUGCACAAAAUUGCAAAUGAUGUUGCAUCGAUAACGCGACGGGUCAAAGGCUAACGAAUAUUUGGGCGAACCGACUUCUCCUCCGGCACGCAUCCGGCAAACAUAUCGGUCGACCGCGUUCGGCAUCGCUUGUAAUCUGCUAACGAUGUCGCAUUUCUCUCGCUUUGAAAUUGCACGGGGAACCGUAUCGAUUUUGCGACAGCGGAAGACAUAUAACGUGAUAACUAGCGACGUGAAAAAUUGCGUUGCACCGCGAACAAGUCCGCGACAAUAAUAAAGGGCCUCUCCGACUGCUCUCUCGUUACCGUGCAAGUAAUUUCUAUCGAAGAAUUUCCAACAACCACGAAAACGGAUAAUAAAUGGCAAUUAGAUUUUUAUCGCGCCUGCCCUUAUAGCGUGAUAUCAGCUUGAUCGUGUUCUUGUCGAAACGAAAGAAAUCGACCGUUAUGAUCGAAACUUCUAUUCUCUCGUAUAUCAGUCAUCGUCGGACGUGUAGCAUCGUCUAGAUCUUUUUAUCUUUAUGGCUUAAAAUAUAUUCGUUGAAUUAUUUUCCGUCGCUUUUCGAAACACCACCACUGACAAAUUAAUACGGCCAGCCUGCGUUAAGUCAAAUAACCGUCUUUAUCGAGUACUCUUGUACUCGGGGCAAAGAAGAAAGUUGCGCGGCUCGUUGUUCUAGAAUUAACAGCUUCGCUAAAAAGUUAAACAACCUGUAAUAUCCCAUAUCUAACGGUUUGCUAGAGUUUAAUCAGUUCCCGAGUGCCGGCUAAGCGGAUCUGAUUUUCUUUUAUGCGAUCUUUCGUGCGCAUAUUUAAAUCGUACCGAUCGCAGCUUCUUCCCUCUUUUCUUUCAUACCGGUUUUGCGCCGAAGAAACCGAUGGCUAUAAGACCGGCCAGAAAGAAGCGUACACGUACGUAUGUUUUCGUCGGGCAAACAGUUUAGACGAGUUUCCCCUUUUUCACUCUUUAACCACCGAGCGACGUAAAUGUCAGGAAAUCAACAAGAACGGACUUAUCAUAUUUUUCUCCGUGUGUUUUUCAUAUUUUAUAUAAGGCGGUAAUAUCGCUACGUUUACUUUUCAUCUUUAAAAUACCGCGAGAUAUUCCUUUUUUUACAAAAUGAAGCUACUUGGACGAUAUUAUUCCACGCGUGACAUUAUUGAAAAACUCGCGACAUAGAAAAACGGAAGUAACGAAUUUGCCUAAAUGUUCGAAUAUUUAAAGUCAUUGUUCUCGUUAGCUUAUCCUUUUCCAAAAGCUAUCCGUUAAAGAGCCGCCAAGGAUUUCUAGGCUAAUACUAUGAAAUGAAAAGUUACUUUACAAAUUCUUUGAUAAAGUCGCGCGUACAGUGGCUACCGUUGAAUUCUUCUUCGUUGUCCGCUAUUCCUUUCGCUACGCCCUUUGUGCAAUUAUUUAUAUGGUAUAUGUAAUAUCACGUAUGGUAAAUGUAGUAUCAAGUAAUAACAGUGAAAAUUAUUUAAAGUAUUCGACAUAUAUUAAAAACGCCGCCAUCGCGGAAAUAAAACGACGAUCCUUAAACAUCGUAUCACUGGCCGGAAACUUGAGAAAUCUAGCGUCGCGUUUGGAAAAUGUCUGCGGAAGUAAUAAAAGGGAGGGACACGAUACGAGUUUAUAUGGAAACACGACGCAAUUUAUAAGGAAAAAAUACGUCGAUGUAACGCUUCGCUGUUUCUUUCAAGUUUCUUAGUAUCGUGUACCAGAAGUCAGCCACGCUCGCGGAAUAAAAAUAUCGGAAACAUCGAUUCUCACGAAAAAAGCAUCGGCGGUUUUCUAUCGAAAAUAGGAAACACGCGCGAAUAGAUAUGCCAUCGAUAUUUCUCCCUCUAUAGUGCGAAUCGUUAAAAGAGUCAAGAGAAAGUCGUUUGUCGGUUAAUAAGAGAGGAUCCGAGGGAUAGGAUAUCCGAGCGAUGUUCUAUCUUCCUUGAUUAAAACGGUCCUGUCUAGCAUUUUUUCGCCUUUUGAAAAGAUCACGUACGUAUCUAAAUGACGAUAAAUAAAUAACUGAAAACAAAUUUAAUUUUGCGUCAGAAAGACGCUAAAAUCGUCAAAGGAAGAUUUUCUAUCGUUGGACUUUUAAUUUGAUAUGUAAAAACCUACCCGCGAACCGACGUUCGUUCCUA